rnacentral:rRNA from 1 species
AUUGAACGCUGGCGGCAUGCCUUACACAUGCAAGUCGAACGGCAGCACGGGUGCUUGCACCUGGUGGCGAGUGGCGAACGGGUGAGUAAUACAUCGGAACAUGUCCUGUAGUGGGGGAUAGCCCGGCGAAAGCCGGAUUAAUACCGCAUACGAACUACGGAUGAAAGCGGGGGACCUUCGGGCCUCGCGCUAUAGGGUUGGCCGAUGGCGGAUUAGCUAGUUGGUGGGGUAAAGGCCUACCAAGGCGACGAUCAGUAGCUGGUCUGAGAGGACGACCAGCCACACUGGAACUGAGACACGGCCCAGACUCCUACGGGAGGCAGCAGUGGGGAAUUUUGGACAAUGGGCGAAAGCCUGAUCCAGCAAUGCCGCGUGUGUGAAGAAGGCCUUCGGGUUGUAAAGCACUUUUGUCCGGAAAGAAAUCCUUGGCCCUAAUACGGUCGGGGGAUGACGGUACCGGAAGAAUAAGCACCGGCUAACUACGUG